GCUGGGUUAGCUCAGUUGGUUAGAACAUGGUGCUAAUAACACCAAGUUCACAGGUUCAAUCCCUGCUUACUGCA
rfam:Pelecanus crispus contig57028, whole genome shotgun sequence.